CUCGUAGGUGGCCAACUAAGUCAGACGUGAAAUCCCUCGGCUUAACCGGGGAACUGCGUCUGAUACUGGAUGGCUCUGAGUUUGGGAGAGGGAUGCGGAAUUCCAGGUGUAGCGGUGAAAUGCGUAGAUAUCUGGAGGAACACCGGUGGCGAAGGCGGCAUCCUGGACCAACACUGACGCUGAGGAGCGAAAGCCAGGGGAGCAAACG
rnacentral:rRNA from 1 species